UUUAAAUGGGUGAGGAGGCCCGCCUGCGGGAGCGAGGCGGGGCCCCUUCGGACGAGAGCGCCCAGUGGGCCACUUUUGGUAAGCAGAACUGGCGCUGCGGGAUGAACCGAACGCCGGGUUGCGGCGCCCGAUGCGAGACGCUCACGAGACCCCAUGAAAGGUGUUGGUUGCUCCAGACAGCAGGACGGUGGCCAUGGAAGUCGGAAUCCGCCAAGGAGUGUGUAACGACUCACCUGCCGAAGCAACUAGCCCUGAAAAUGGAUGGCGCUCCAGCGUCGAGCCCACACCCGGCCGUCCCCCCAAACUCGAGUUUACGGGGGGACGAGUAGGAGGGUCGCGUCGGCGAGCGUGGAAGGUGCCGGGCGCGAGCCCGCCUGGAGCCGCCGACGGCGCAGAUCUCGGUGGUAGUAGCAAAUACUCGAGUGAGAACCUCGAGGACCGAGGUGGAGAAGGGUUCCAUGUGAACAGCAGUUGAACAUGGGUCAGUCGGCCCUAAGGGAUCGGACGACUCCGUUCCGAUGGCCGGGCCUGACUCAGUUAGCCCGGACCGCCCGAAAGGGAAUCGGGUCAAUAUUCCCGAACCCGGACGCGGAGAUCGGGGCCUCGGCCCCGAACGCGGCGACGCGACCGAACUCGGAGACGUCGGCGGGAGUCCCGGGAAGAGUUUUCUUUUCUUCGUAAGGGCUCGGGUCCCUGGAAUCGGCUCGUCCGGAGAUAGGGACGCUGACGCCCGUAAAGCGCCGCGGCUCUUGCGGCGUCCGGAGCGCUCUCGCCGGCCCUUGAAAAUCCGAGGGAGGAGGUGUGAUUUUCGCGCCGGGCCGUACCCAUGUCCGCAGCAGGU
rnacentral:rRNA from 1 species